AGUGUAGUACCACUAGUGGUAGUCGUGUCCUGCACUCUUUGGCUCGGCUUUAGUCCCAGCUUGAGCAGUAGAGGUGAGGUCGUACUCCGACAAGACGUAGAUCUACGCACAUCGGCAAUGAAACUUCGAAAGCACGUAGAAUCUACCGAUAACCGUCGCUCUUCCGAAGCCAACCAAUGUUGCCGAGCGCCGCUCAUCGACGAGGGAAAUACGAACCGUCCACGAGGACGGUAGCGGCCUGGACGGACGUACAGGACGUCAGGAGGACAACUGCUGGCGAGCGCGAUCGGGCCGGCGGGUGAGCGGACACCAUUGGCCACCACAUCGGUAUCACAGACACACGCACGCUGGCUGCCGAACGCCCAAAACCACCUGGUGCCGUCAUGACCGCCGGGGCAAACGACGCAUCGACCAGUUUCUUCGACUUCUCUUUUGCUUCUUCUCCGAGAAGAACGCACCCUAAGGUUGACACAACGCAGACACUGAUCAUGUACGUAUUAUGACUUUAAUAUGAAGUUAUGUGCUUGUACAAGCCGAAAGCCAAACUCCUACAGUACUCCUCAUGCAUGACCUCAUGUAUGACCUCAUGCAUGACCUCAUGCAUGACAUUGUGAUGGACUACAUGUGAUGGACUACAUGAGUCGUGUGAAACAACUUGUUUUGUAGUCAACUAGUCCAUCACAAUGUCAUGCAUGAGGAGUACUGAAGGAGUUUGGCUUUCGGCUUGUACAAUUCGUUUUCGCAAAGCUUCCCCCUUCUUUACUUAUCUUUGCUAUUUAUGUGCUUGUCUUUUGUUUAUCGUUCUGCCCGCGCGGUCCAAACGACGUUACAUGCUGGCCCGCUGGCCCUGGAAUGAAUCAGCACCCGGGUUACGUUAACAUUAUUCAUUGACUGAGCGUUCUUUGCUUUGUACUACACCCUGCUUAUUUCCUACAAUAUUGUAUUGUUUCCAUUCGCUUCCAUGUAAUUGGGCGACACCGCCCGUUUGGUUCUGCGCAUUCAAAAUAAAAAUGUACCUACCUA